CUCAUUGGCAACAGCAAGUCACUUCAAUCCUGUGAGCUUACUUGACAUCACCCAUAAACUGGGAAGGCUAACGGUUCUCACAAGAGCUUGGGAAAGUCAAAAGGAGUGGGAUUCACAUGCUUCCAUCACUAAAGAACCUUCCUAAAGGAAUCCUUUACACUUACAGGACACACCAGCUUGCCAGAUGUGUCUGUGCUACAGCACGACAUGUUCAGGACCUUGAGUCAGACAACUGUUUGCUCCUUUCUGCUUCUGUCUUCUGGACCUGGUCUCUUAAGACAAAGCUGCAGCAGAGAAAUGGGACAAGCCAUCCUCUGGAGGAGAAACUCAUUUUGGGUGCUUCUGCUUGUAAACUUUACUGUGGGGAAUAAAUAUGAUGCUGCAAUGAAUGGGACCCUUCAC